rnacentral:tRNA from 1 species
UCCGCGAUAGCUCAAUGGUAGAGCAAUCGGCUGUUAACCGAUCGGUUGCUGGUUCGAGUCCAGCUCGCGGAGC